CCUACGGGAGGCAGCAGUCGAGAAUCAUUCACAAUGGGGGAAACCCUGGUGGUGCGACGCCGCGUGGGGGAAUGAAGGUCUUCGGAUUGUAAACCCCUGUCAUGUGGGAGCAAAUUAAAAAGAUAGUACCACAAGAGGAAGAGACGGCUAACUCUGUGCCAGCAGCCGCGGUAAUACAGAGGUCUCAAGCGUUGUUCGGAAUCACUGGGCGUAAAGCGUGCGUAGGCUGUUUCGUAAGUCGUGUGUGAAAGGCGCGGGCUCAACCCGCGGACGGCACAUGAUACUGCGAGACUAGAGUAAUGGAGGGGGAACCGGAAUUCUCGGUGUAGCAGUGAAAUGCGUAGAUAUCGAGAGGAACACUCGUGGCGAAGGCGGGUUCCUGGACAUUAACUGACGCUGAGGCACGAAGGCCAGGGGAGCGAAAGGGAUUAGAUACCCGAGUAGUC
rnacentral:rRNA from 1 species